rnacentral:rRNA from 1 species
CGUGGGUGAUCUGCCCUGCACUUCGGGAUAAGCCUGGGAAACUGGGUCUAAUACCGGAUAUGACCUCAGGUUGCAUGACUUGGGGUGGAAAGAUUUAUCGGUGCAGGAUGGGCCCGCGGCCUAUCAGCUUGUUGGUGGGGUAAUGGCCUACCAAGGCGACGACGGGUAGCCGACCUGAGAGGGUGACCGGCCACACUGGGACUGAGACACGGCCCAGACUCCUACGGGAGGCAGCAGUGGGGAAUAUUGCACAAUGGGCGAAAGCCUGAUGCAGCGACGCCGCGUGAGGGAUGACGGCCUUCGGGUUGUAAACCUCUUUCAGCAGGGACGAAGCGCAAGUGACGGUACCUGCAGAAGAAGCACCGGCUAACUACGUGCCAGCAGCCGCGGUAAUACGUAGGGUGHAAGCGUUGUCCGGAAUUACUGGGYGUAAAGAGUUCGUAGGCGGUUUGUCGCGUCGUUUGUGAAAACCAGCAGCUCAACUGCUGGCUUGCAGGCGAUACGGGCAGACUUGAGUACUGCAGGGGAGACUGGAAUUCCUGGUGUAGCGGUGAAAUGCGCAGAUAUCAGGAGGAACACCGGUGGCGAAGGCGGGUCUCUGGGCAGUAACUGACGCUGAGGAACGAAAGCGUGGGUAGCGAACAGGAUUAGAUACCCUGGUAGUCCACGCCGUAAACGGUGGGCGCUAGGUGUGGGUUCCUUCCACGGAAUCCGUGCCGUAGCUAACGCAUUAAGCGCCCCCCCCUGGGGAGUACGGCCCCCAGGGCUAAAACUCACAGGAAUUGUCGGGGGCCCCCACMARCGGCGGAGCAUKUGGAUUAAUUCGAUACMACGCGCAGAACCUUACCUGGGUUUGACAUAUACCGGAAAGCUGCAGAGAUGUGNCCCCCCUUGUGGUGCGGUAUACAGGUGGUGCAUGGCUGUCGUCAGCUCGUGUCGUGAGAUGUUGGGUUAAGUCCCGCAACGAGCGCAAACCCCUAUCUUAUGUUGCCAGCACGUUAUGGUGGGGACUCGUAAGAGACUGCCGGGGUCAACUCGGAGGAAGGUGGGGACGACGUCAAGUCAUCAUGCCCCUUAUGUCCAGGGCUUCACACAUGCUACAAUGGCCAGUACAGAGGGCUGCGAGACCGUGAGGUGGAGCGAAUCCCUUAAAGCUGGUCUCAGUUCGGAUCGGGGUCUGCAACUCGACCCCGUGAAGUCGGAGUCGCUAGUAAUCGCAGAUCAGCAACGCUGCGGUGAAUACGUUCCC